rnacentral:sRNA from 1 species
GUCGGCGUGUGCAAGCGCCCCGUGUUGGGACGGCCGCUCCUGGACCCUAGGACUCUGUGUGUCGGGUGUCGGAUUGGGUGGCAUGGGGUGAGAUCUGGAGCGGGACUUAGGGCAGGGCGGGGUGCAGAGGACAGUUCCAGAAAUGAGUAGGUCCACUGAGGUCAAGCCGGCGGUCACCACAGCCAGAAAGAUCCAGACAAGAACGUUUUCUUUGAAAGAGUUGAAGGAGAAAGCACGCCCCAACUUUUCGAAUCAGGCAGACCAUCCAGUCUUGGCUGGCACUGGUUUCUGGCCGGCCCUGCCAGUCAGGGGAGAAGAGACUACAGAUUUGAGAAAGCAAGCAGAGACAGCCCCAGAUGGCCCGGACUCUGGGGAGUACUUGCUGCAUUUGAUCCUCUACAACUGGUGUUGCUCCCGUUAUGCGGACAGAAGACAGCCCCAGGGAACAAAUGCUAGGAAAUGGCAGGGUGAGAAAACUGAGGCAUAGAGAGGUUACAAUAUAACUUAGAUCUCCCAGCUGGCAAGUAAUGGUUUAAGCCAGGAGCCUACACACUUCCUCCUACUUCCUCUAUGGGUGCUGGUGAUCUGCCGACUCCUAGACAUCCAGCUUUAAGGUCCUCAGUGAAGCUUCUCUGCCCCCAGGCCUGUCCAUGUCAGAGCACCAUGGGUGUCCCUUUGAAAGUGUCUCCUACAGGUCUGUGAUUAUGCGGUCUAUGUGUAAACCAAAGGGUUCCAAGAGUUUUGGCCUUCCAACUAUUUUUGUGUGUGUGUGAAUAUGACAGCACUGUGCACC